rnacentral:misc_RNA from 1 species
GGAACAGGAGAAAGCUUCCAUGUCGCCUUUUCUUUCUUUAAUAUGACAACUUAAUCAGAUAACCUUAUGUAUGAAAUAAUAUGAUAAUCCCACACGAGCAUAGUAGCAUACUUCAUGUACAUUCUGUAUACAGGAAGUAGAAUAAUAAAAUGAAGCCAUGAAGAGAUGGGCCUGUAGUCAGAAGGCCAAGUAAGGCUCUGUAUCCUUCAUAUAUCGCUAGGAGCCAAUAUUUUUACGCUUAUUGUAGGAAGACUUAACAUGAAGAAUGUAAGGACUCCAGCAAGACCAAUUUUGUUAGUUUCUCUAGAGGAACAC